AACGCAGAUGGCGCUCUCAUUCACGUGGGAGCAUGCCUCUUUCAGUGUCUGUUCCACUCUCCCUCGCCCUGCGUGGCGGAAACUGAGGCGGUGCGCUGUUCUGUAUUGAAUGGUGCUCGCCUUGAAGUGUCCAGCUGAGCUCGUUCCGAGUGCGCGCGCCCCCUGCGGGCGUGCGUGCGCGGCGCUCACUGAGAAAGUGACGUGGGUAAACUACCUCUGUACGUCGGCUUUCGUUUGCAGGUGAGCGGUCCGCGGCGCUUCACGCGCUGCGGCCGGUGAGCAUCCGCGCCCUCUCCCCGUCAAACGGGAGUCACGGCGCAACCCAACACACUGACCUGAAAUGAGGCAAGAGGACCCGCCGAAUUUAA
rnacentral:misc_RNA from 1 species